UCCUUACCAAAGUAACAAAUGUCAAAAUGUAAAUUCAUUUUAAUUCUUUCCACUUCAUAUAGAUUUUUGACUUUCUUGAGAUUGUACAAAUUUCGGCAUAUCAGUGUGAACACUCUUUAAGUGUUUCUAGGAGAGGGUCGUGGCUUCGUGUCAAUAGUUCCGGCAAAACACUUGCAAGAAAGAACUUUUCAGCCUUAGGUAGGGCUUUUUGCAGUAUUUCUUCAUCUCUGAUUAUGCGACGCACAAUGACCUCAGCACUUGUCCAAACCACAAAGUCACAGUAUUGGACAUUGCAUACAAACAUGUGAAGUUGAACUUGGUGGUAAUAUUCAUGAUUCUUCUUUAGGUGCAGUGAUUUGUCCAAGCAGAACUGUGUGUCAUCACUGCACCCUGUAAGGCCAUCACGGUAUUUGUAUGGGCACUUAACUUCAAGGGUUCCUCUCCCACAACAGGAACAGUUCACUAAUCCAUCUGGAGAUGCCCCGAGAUGUGGUUGAUUUGUCACGACUCCCGCCGAAGUCAGCCCCUCUGCUUGUUCGGGCGGCAUUUGACGGUCGACGUCACCGGCUUACUAGUUGCCACCGAUCGAUGUUUCACUGUUUGUUUGGUUUUGUCUUUAUUGUGUACACCUGUUUUUGAUUUUCCCUAAUUAUGUUCAUUAUUUAACUCUCUGCAUUUCCUGUUUGUCUUGUCGGUGAUUGUUUCCUGUUUUGUGUGGUUGGAGGUGUUUCUCCGCAAUAUGUAUUUUUUCUAUGAUAAGAUUUAUUGAUUUUUCAAGUAAACACGUUUGUUUACAUUGAUCCCUGUGUCCUGCGCCUGACUCCUCUACUUCUCCAAGGAAAACCAUUACAUGAUCAUUCUGCACGACAAGACCAGAGAGCUUCACACUGAAGUUGGCAUGGAUUUUGCUCAUUUCUGCCGUGUAGUACUUUCUGGCUUUGUCCUCCAUGUCUCUUCCCCAAAGUACAGCUGGGACAUGAUGCAACUCACUGUCAUUGUAAUGCAUUGUCUUUUUCACCAAGUUGAUUUUGUCUGUGUUUCUGCCUGCUGUGCACACACGAUGGAAGGCGGUGCUUGUUAUCCAUCUGAUUCGGUUGGUGUGCCAGGCCUGGCAUUUGGACUGUUCCUUGGAGGUGGUGAGAGGUCACUUAGAUUGGCAUCAUACAGAGCUGUGAGUGGCUCUGGCAGGUCUUCUGUGUUGGUGUUUGCAUCUACUGAUGCAGUAUCUACAUCAUUGUGGUCCUUCGCCAUCCUGGCCAUGAAGCCUGCUACAUAUAGACAAAGUGGUUGCUUCGAGACAACUUCUUCACUGAACGUAGAUACUGCCAUCAACACGUGCACAUCCACAUAUCGUGCUAGUAUUUGUACACAAAGGAAGCGGUCUAUAGCGAUCUGGAUUCUUCUACAAAGACCUACACUAUUCAACCCGUACAUUACCUCUACAAAAGCUUUUCAGGACCAAAAGCUGUUGGGUAGUUCCACGAAAUGAGUCACUUUUGGGUAGUGUAACUUGGUGGGAAAAAAUCGUUUUAUUUCACCUUAUUUUGACAUUCUGUCAUGACGAGCACAUGUUCAACUUAAUGAAAAAAAACAUGCUUUCCCAUCUCAAGAGGGAUAAUAAAAGAUGACUAUAGUACGUGCCUAUUAAAGGCCCAGUGCAGUCAAAAACAUGACAUUCUUGUGUUUUAUAUACAGUGUACAAAACAUUAACACCUGCUCUUUCCAUGACAUAGACCUAACCAGGUGAAUUCACAUCAAAGCUAUGAUCCCUUAUUGAUGUUACCUAUUACAUCCACUUCAAUCAGUGUAGAUGAAGGGGAGAAGACGGGUUAAAGAAGGAUUUUUAAGCCUUGAGACAAUUGAGACAUGGAUUGUAUAUGUGUGCCAUUCAGAAGGUAAUUGGACAAGACAAAAGUUUUAAGUGCCUUUGAACGGGGUAUAGUAGUAGGUGCCAGGCGCAUCGAUUUUAGAGUUAAGAACUUUUUUCAGACUGCGCUUUUAUGCCACUCCACAGGGGACUAUCUAGAAAAAACAGCAGAGAUGCACAAUAGGUUUCAAAGGAGGCUACUUUCCACAAUGUGUGGAGGAAAAAAGUUAAUGAAAUCAAUAAUUUGCUAACAUCAGAUAACAUUCAUACAUUAGCCAUUGCUGAGACUCACUUAGAGAAUUCAUUUGAUGAUAAAACAGUAGCAAUACAAGGAUAUAACAUCUAUAGAAGAGACAGAAAUGCUUA